UACGCACCGCCCGUCACAUCAUGGGAGUUGGUUUUACCCGAAGUUGCUGACCCAAGCCGUAAGGCAGGGAGGUGCCUAAGGUAAGGCCGAUGACUGGGAUG
rnacentral:rRNA from 1 species